rnacentral:snoRNA from 1 species
UCCCUCCAGAUGCCUUCCCCAUCCCGUCUAAGCAUUGGUCUGAGAAGCAACAUAAGGAAGAAAAGAAAAACUGAAGUGGAUUUGGAUUCUUUGAGACAUACAAGUUCAUUUUCUCAAUGA